UUCUGUUGACCAUCAAUAGCAGAGGGACUAGACGUUUUUUCUGAAUAAAACUUAGGUCAGAACGUCUUCUUUUCAGCAAAUCGCGCAGUGCCUUUUGAAAUUCAAAUUUGAUCAUGUGCUCACGGAGCACCAUAAAUAUUCUUCGUCACCGAUAUCAUUACAAAUAUAGUUUUCUGGCACAUUAUAUUUUUUUACGGCGAAUACUCUUCCAUAAACGUGCAUAUUCCGAUCCAUUAGCGUUCACUUUUAUGAUUUAUUUUUGAGACCCCUAUACAGGCAUGCAGCCGGCAUAUUCGUGUCACAUGUUUUCCAGAGCCCCAGUGCCACUGUUAUUCCAUUGAAAUUGAAAGAAGGCCCGCAUUAUGCACCACAUGUAAAGAAAGAUAAGAAGGCUUUCCGCCACUUGAGCAUCAACGAAACUCGAUAUCCGCCACAACGUGUCUGCCCUGCUCGUUUUGUUUUAAGUUGGCCGUUGGAGGUUGUUUAAACUCUUCGCCACUUAAUUGGGUUAAAUGAUUGAGGGAGAUUGGUUCCAUUUAUUCCAUAUCCUGUAGGCGGGUUGUUUUAUUAACGGUGGGAUAUUUGGCUCGUCUCAGUCAAUAUCUUUUCCCGAAAAGUUUAACCAAUUUAUUGCUUUUAACGCACAGCGUUCAUAACAAGAUAUAUUGGAAUAACACAGAGAAGCCACCUUGUUGAAGUGGUUGAACUAAACAACUAACUUUCCAAUUAACUAGUGAGUUUGUAAAGUUGUAAUUGACACGAAUGACAAACUCAAUUUCCGGAAAUAAUUAAAGUUGCCCCUCAUUUCACCGUUAAGCUCUAAUAUUCAACGUGCCCCAACUGAACUCUACCCACUCUACAUAGUGGAGAUGUUGUAUCCUGGAGGCGCUUUGCCCCAGUUUCCAUUCUAGACGACUAAUAGAAGCUACGCAAAAAGUGUGUUCUAGUCAAAAAAAGCGACGCCCAAAGGAGUUCAAGCAAAAUGAAAUGCUUUAUUAAAUACACCACUGCAAUAAUACACGCUUUUAACAAACUGAUAUGACUUAUCAAACAUCAUACUUAAAAUAUUUGGACUUAUUCAAAUUCCUUAAAUAAUAAUAAAUAGGUAUAAAAUAUAUUAACGAACAGAGUUUAGAGAAAAGGGCCGAUAUCCAUUAAACAGGUCGACGCUUGAAGGAGCCUUUGUUGAAACUCGUUUUUCAGGUAGGCUCAAUCGAAGACAUGAUUUUGCUUGUUGCUAGACGGGUUUUCAAGAUAUAAAUCCUUUUCUCAAAAACGAUCGCCCUUUGCUUGUGUCCCCAGGAAUAUACUGGGCGUUCUCACUCAAACUGUCCCAGUUCCAAGCAAAUGGCGCGGUCGUACAGUUCCAAAUUGACCUGAACUACUGACUAGGCACACUUAUGUUUAUAUCAUAACAAGAAACUUGUCUAUAGUAUGAAAAAAUAUAAACUUCCAAUCAAUCAAAUAAAAACAAAUCAUUGGUAAAAAAUCGCCCCGACUUCUCACAGAGCCGGACUACGUACAACUGUGUUUUUUUUUUCAAUUUUUAAAAAUACUUUAUAUCGAUACAACAUAUAAAUUAUCAAGAUACUUUAACAGGACCAACAGUGUUACAUGGAAUGCGGAUAAUGUGCUUCAAUCGUCAAGUGACACCCGUUUUUUUAACAUUAUUAUAUUACAAAAUAAACUUUUCCAACAUAGACACGUGAAUCUGUAUAUGGGCUAUAACGAGCAGUUGAAUGGCAAAAAAAUUGAUUGUCUUUGAUGAAUUUUCGAAUAUCAAGCAGCGAGAUCAGUAUGAUUUGCCCAAACAUUUUUUCUCCCUGUUUUGUUUCGUCUGGAAUUUGUUCAAAACGUAAAAAUUACGCAAUUUUUAUUGCAUUCUUCCCUAAAAGCGUUUCGAGCGGUUAUUUCCUUAUCUGGGGUAAAAUUUGAUUUGAAAUAACACAUAACAAUAACUGUACACAUUUUAAAAGUUAAUUGGGAAUUGUUUUGCGAGCUUUUAAAGUAUUUGCAUGAUAUUCAAUUAGAACUCGCCCUCAGCUGUACCUACAGCUAUUUUAUUACAUUUAUUAAAGCAUUGAUAGAA